rnacentral:rRNA from 1 species
GACGAACGCUGGCGGCGUGCCUAAUACAUGCAAGUCGAACGAACUCUGGUAUUGAUUGGUGCUUGCAUCAUGAUUUACAUUUGAGUGAGUGGCGAACUGGUGAGUAACACGUGGGAAACCUGCCCAGAAGCGGGGGAUAACACCUGGAAACAGAUGCUAAUACCGCAUAACAACUUGGACCGCAUGGUCCGAGUUUGAAAGAUGGCUUCGGCUAUCACUUUUGGAUGGUCCCGCGGCGUAUUAGCUAGAUGGUGGGGUAACGGCUCACCAUGGCAAUGAUACGUAGCCGACCUGAGAGGGUAAUCGGCCACAUUGGGACUGAGACACGGCCCAAACUCCUACGGGAGGCAGCAGUAGGGAAUCCUCCACAAUGGACGAAAGUCUGAUGGAGCAACGCCGCGUGAGUGAAGAAGGGUUUCGGCUCGUAAAACUCUGUUGUUAAAGAAGAACAUAUCUGAGAGUAACUGUUCAGGUAUUGACGGUAUUUAACCAGAAAGCCACGGCUAACUACGUGCCAGCAGCCGCGGUAAUACGUAGGUGGCAAGCGUUGUCCGGAUUUAUUGGGCGUAAAGCGAGCGCAGGCGGUUUUUUAAGUCUGAUGUGAAAGCCUUCGGCUCAACCGAAGAAGUGCAUCGGAAACUGGGAAACUUGAGUGCAGAAGAGGACAGUGGAACUCCAUGUGUAGCGGUGAAAUGCGUAGAUAUAUGGAAGAACACCAGUGGCGAAGGCGGCUGUCUGGUCUGUAACUGACGCUGAGGCUCGAAAGUAUGGGUAGCAAACAGGAUUAGAUACCCUGGUAGUCCAUACCGUAAACGAUGAAUGCUAAGUGUUGGAGGGUUUCCGCCCUUCAGUGCUGCAGCUAACGCAUUAAGCAUUCCGCCUGGGGAGUACGGCCGCAAGGCUGAAACUCAAAGGAAUUGACGGGGGCCCGCACAAGCGGUGGAGCAUGUGGUUUAAUUCGAAGCUACGCGAAGAACCUUACCAGGUCUUGACAUACUAUGCAAAUCUAAGAGAUUAGACGUUCCCUUCGGGGACAUGGAUACAGGUGGUGCAUGGUUGUCGUCAGCUCGUGUCGUGAGAUGUUGGGUUAAGUCCCGCAACGAGCGCAACCCUUAUUAUCAGUUGCCAGCAUUAAGUUGGGCACUCUGGUGAGACUGCCGGUGACAAACCGGAGGAAGGUGGGGAUGACGUCAAAUCAUCAUGCCCCUUAUGACCUGGGCUACACACGUGCUACAAUGGAUGGUACAACGAGUUGCGAACUCGCGAGAGUAAGCUAAUCUCUUAAAGCCAUUCUCAGUUCGGAUUGUAGGCUGCAACUCGCCUACAUGAAGUCGGAAUCGCUAGUAAUCGCGGAUCAGCAUGCCGCGGUGAAUACGUUCCCGGGCCUUGUACACACCGCCCGUCACACCAUGAGAGUUUGUAACACCCAAAGUCGGUGGGGUAACCUUUUAGGAACCAGCCGCCUAAGGUGGGACAGAUGAUUAGGGUG